GAGCGGAGUUUUGAAAGCUUGCUUUUCAAAACUUAGCGGCGGACGGGUGAGUAACACGUGGGCAACCUGCCCUUGAGACGGGGAUAACUCCGGGAAACCGGAGCUAAUACCGGAUAACACAUAUCUUCGCAUGAGGAUAUGUUAGAAGGUGGCUUUUAGCUACCACUCAAGGAUGGGCCCGCGGCGCAUUAGCUAGUUGGUGAGGUAACGGCUCACCAAGGCGACGAUGCGUAGCCGACCUGAGAGGGUGAUCGGCCACACUGGGACUGAGACACGGCCCAGACUCCUACGGGAGGCAGCAGUAGGGAAUCUUCCGCAAUGGACGAAAGUCUGACGGAGCAACGCCGCGUGAGUGAUGAAGGUUUUCGGAUCGUAAAGCUCUGUUGUUAGGGAAGAACAAGUACCUGUUAAAUAAGCAGGUACCUUGACGGUACCUAACCAGAAAGCCACGGCUAACUACGUGCCAGCAGCCGCGGUAAUACGUAGGUGGCAAGCGUUGUCCGGAAUUAUUGGGCGUAAAGCGCGCGCAGGCGGUUCCUUAAGUCUGAUGUGAAAGCCCACGGCUCAACCGUGGAGGGUCAUUGGAAACUGGGGAACUUGAGUGCAGAAGAGG
rnacentral:rRNA from 1 species